GCUCGCGUAGCUUAAUAUAAAGUAUGGCACUGAAGAUGCUAAGAUGGGGCUUUAAAAUCCCCGCAUGCA
rnacentral:tRNA from 1 species